AUUGAACGCUGGCGGCAGGCCUAACACAUGCAAGUCGAACGAGUGGCGGACGGGUGAGUAAUGUCUGGGAAACUGCCUGAUGGAGGGGGAUAACUACUGGAAACGGUAGCUAAUACCCCUAACCACCGAAGUUGCCCAAAUGGAGUUGGGUGGUGGGGGGGGAAAGGCUCACCUAGGCGACGAUCCCUAGCUGGUCUGAGAGGAUGACCAGCCACACUGGAACUGAGACACGGUCCAGACUCCUACGGGAGGCAGCAGUGGGGAAUAUUGCACAAUGGGCGCAAGCCUGAUGCAGCCAUGCCGCGUGUAUGAAGAAGGCCUUCGGGUUGUAAAGUACUUUCAGCGGGGAGGCGUUACCCGCAGAAGAAGCACCGGCUAACUCCGUGCCAGCAGCCGCGGUAAUAC
rnacentral:rRNA from 1 species